rnacentral:rRNA from 1 species
GGCCAGAUGACCCUAUAGGGCGAUGAAUUAGCGGCGCGAAUCGCCCUUAGAGUUUGAUCCUGGCUCAGGACGAACGCUGGCGGCGCGCCUAACACAUGCAAGUCGAACGAGCGAGAGAGAGCUUGCUUUCUCAAGCGAGUGGCGAACGGGUGAGUAACGCGUGAGGAACCUGCCUCAAAGAGGGGGACAACAGUUGGAAACGACUGCUAUACCGCAUAAGCCCACAGCUCGGCAUCGAGCAGAGGGAAAAGGAGCAAUCCGCUUUGAGAUGGCCUCGCGUCCGAUUAGCUGGUUGGUGAGGUAAUGGCCCACCAAGGCGACGAUCGGUAGCCGGACUGAGAGGUUGAACGGCCACAUUGGGACUGAGACACGGCCCAGACUCCUACGGGAGGCAGCAGUGGGGAAUAUUGCACAAUGGGGGAAACCCUGAUGCAGCGACGCCGCGUGGAGGAAGAAGGUCUUCGGAUUGUAAACUCCUGUUGUUGAGGAAGAUAAUGACGGUACUCAACAAGGAAGUGACGGCUAACUACGUGCCAGCAGCCGCGGUAAAACGUAGGUCACAAGCGUUGUCCGGAAUUACUGGGUGUAAAGGGAGCGCAGGCGGGAAGACAAGUUGGAAGUGAAAUCUAUGGGCUCAACCCAUAAACUGCUUUCAAAACUGUUUUUCUUGAGUAGUGCAGAGGUAGGCGGAAUUCCGGUGUAGCGGUGGAAUGCGUAGAUAUCGGGAGGAACACCAGUGGCGAAGGCGGCCUACUGGGCACCAACUGACGCUGAGGCUCGAAAGUGUGGGGUAGCAAACAGGAUUAGAUACCCUGGUAGUCCACACCGUAAACGAUGAUUACUAGGUGUUGGAGGAUUGACCCCUUCAGUGCCGCAGUUAACACAAUAAGUAAUCCACCUGGGGAGUACGACCGCAAGGUUGAAACUCAAAGGAAUUGACGGGGGCCCGCACAAGCAGUGGAGUAUGUGGUUUAAUUCGACGCAACGCGAAGAACCUUACCAAGUCUUGACAUCCCUUGACGAUGCUGGAAACAGUAUUUCUCUUCGGAGCAAGGAGACAGGUGGUGCAUGGUUGUCGUCAGCUCGUGUCGUGAGAUGUUGGGUUAAGUCCCGCAACGAGCGCAACCCUUACUGUCAGUUACUACGCAAGAGGACUCUGGCAGGACUGCCGUUGACAAAACGGAGGAAGGUGGGGAUGACGUCAAAUCAUCAUGCCCUUUAUGACUUGGGCUACACACGUACUACAAUGGCGUUAAACAAAGAGAAGCAAGACCGCGAGGUGGAGCAAAACUCAGAAACAACGUCCCAGUUCGGACUGCAGGCUGCAACUCGCCUGCACGAAGUCGGAAUUGCUAGUAAUCGUGGAUCAGCAUGCCACGGUGAAUACGUUCCNCGGGCCCUUGUACACACCGCCCGUC